ACGCGCCGUGGAGGUCAGCCUUAAAUGGGUAGAUCUUUCACCUGGCCCACCCUUGUUUAUAUUUAACUGUUGCUUUGGUGAGCCUGCUAUUUAUAGCUGCCGGGAAAUUUAAAUUUCCGGGCUCGUGCUCACCAAAGUCUUUAGUGAACUCUGUGUUUGAUUUUUAGCUGUCUGAGAAUAGAAAAUAAAAAUUUUUA
rnacentral:misc_RNA from 1 species